GGGCUCAUAGCUCAGCCUGGUCAGAGCGCCGGUCUUAUAAGCCGGAUGUCGUGAGUUCAAAUCUCACUGGGCCCA
rnacentral:tRNA from 1 species